rnacentral:rRNA from 1 species
GACGAACGCUGGCGGCGUGCUUAACACAUGCAAGUCGAACGGAAAGGCCCUGCUUUUGUGGGGUGCUCGAGUGGCGAACGGGUGAGUAACACGUGAGUAACCUGCCCUUGACUUUGGGAUAACUUCAGGAAACUGGGGCUAAUACCGGAUAUGAGCUCCUGCUGCAUGGGGGGGGUUGGAGAGAUUCGGCGGUUGGGGAUGGUCUCGCGGCUUAUCAGCUUGUUGGUGGGGUAGUGGCUUACCAAGGCUUUGACGGGUAGCCGGCCUGAGAGGGUGACCGGCCACAUUGGGCCUGAGAGACGGCGCAGAAUGCUAUCGGAGGCAGCGGUGGGGAAUAUUGCACAAUGGGCGGAAGCCUGAUGCGGCAACGCCGCGUGCGUGAUGACGGGCUUCGGGUUGUAAACCGCUUUCGCAUGUGACGAAGAGUGAGUGACGGUAAUGGGUAAAGAAGCACCGGCUAACUACGUG